rnacentral:misc_RNA from 1 species
AACGCACAUUGCGCCCCUUGGUAUUCCGGGGGGCAUGCCUGUUCGAGCGUCAUUAUAACCCUCAAGCCUAGCUUGGUGUUGGAGCCUGCCUCUGGGCAGCUCUUAAAAUCAGUGGCGGUGCCGUCUGGCUCUAAGCGUAGUAAUUUUUCUCGCUACAGAGUCCUGGCGGUUGCUUGCCAACAACCCCAAAUUUUCUAUGGUUGACCUCGGAUCAGGUAGGGAUACCCGCUGAACUUAA